GCGGUAGGCGAAGAGCUUGAAGCUGACUUCCACCAGGAAGAGGGAGAGGAUGGAAAGGCUCAGGUAGUGAAGGACCUGGGAGACACAGAAAAGGGGCCACAGGGUGAAUGACCUUCAGAUCCAGAAGCAGCUCUCCCAGCACCAACACAGCAUCCAAGAUCACCAGGCAAACCACCGCGAUCUGGGACGAAAAGGGAAAGCAUUCAGGUAAAAAUAAUAAAAUGUUCUUGGAAGUCCA